GUGACCGGCACACUUUAAAGGUACAAUCUAAGCACCAUAACUACUACAGCUUGCCAUAGGAGCUUUUGUUAGUCCUCUUGAGGUAAGCUCUGCACAGCUGGGCUUGGUUCAGAGAGAGCAGGUGGCUACAGAAAGGCGAGAGGCGGAGGAGCUGCGAUCAGUAGACCCCAGGUAAAGAGUUUGCAGUGGUUUUGGGGGUUUCAUUUAAAGUGAAAAGUACUCACAGAGACUCCUACCAUGUUUGCUGAUUGCUUUUUCAAAUCUGGUUUUAGAUCGAUCUUGG